GGCCAAAAUUCCUGUGAUGUUCUCCGCACAACUUGUUGGCGACUACGUGCUCCAAUUGGAACUAUCCUACAAAAUUUCGGAAGACGGGAUCCUUGUGACAAAAUCAACCAUGCUCGAAGUCGGCGUUACCGCAAAAGAGCCGUUCACCGUAACCAGCACCGUCAUGAAUAUGAAUGGAAUUCCAAUGACAUCGAUUUUGAACAACUGUGAUCAUAUCCUGAAUGCAAGCAUACAGUCAGCUGCUUCUAUUGUUAUCAGCUCAGUGGAGUUUUUGAUGGCCGACGUUGUAACUCUCUGUGAUACAAUUAACGGUGGAUCUGGCAAGAAUUUGAACGGUACGAGAGUAGUUUAAACAAGCAUGAAUAUAAUAAUUUCCAGAUAAGGUGCAUUCGGAGGAAGUGAUCUGCUACUCGGCGGUAAUCCGUGUUCUCGUGAAGGAAGAUGAAUCUGAAACACCUCUUGGAAGGAUGUCUGUGGAGUGGAGAAG
rnacentral:sRNA from 1 species